rnacentral:tRNA from 1 species
GGGGCUAUAGCUCAGCUGGUAGAGCGCCUGCUUUGCAAGCAGGAUGUCAGGAGUUCGAGUCUCCUUAGCUCCACCA